rnacentral:rRNA from 1 species
AACGAACGCUGGCGGCAGGCCUAACACAUGCAAGUCGAACGCUUCAGCAAUGAAGAGUGGCAGACGGGUGAGUAACGCGUGGGAACCUUCCCAGUGGUACGGAAUAGCCCAGGGAAACUUGGGGUAAUACCGUAUAAGCCCUUAGGGGGAAAGAUUUAUCGCCAUUGGAUGGGCCCGCGUCGGAUUAGCUUGUUGGUGAGGUAAAAGCUCACCAAGGCGACGAUCCGUAGCUGGUCUGAGAGGAUGAUCAGCCACACUGGGACUGAGACACGGCCCAGACUCCUACGGGAGGCAGCAGUGGGGAAUAUUGGACAAUGGGCGCAAGCCUGAUCCAGCCAUGCCGCGUGAGUGAUGAAGGCCUUAGGGUUGUAAAGCUCUUUUGGCGGGGACGAUAAUGACGGUACCCGCAGAAUAAGCUCCGGCUAACUUCGUG